AUAAAUGUUGUUGACACUUCUCUUACUUGUAUUUGACUCGCUUCUGUUGUUUAUUUACUUUAUAAGAAUGGUUUAAUGUCUUCGAAAAAGUCCGUUAGCAUUUCUACCGUUUUCAGACGACGUAUCGUCAGAAGGCAGUGUCCAAGAUUUCAAUAUUUCUGAAGGGAGCUGCUGACAGAGAUGUAGGAAGCGCUGAAAAGGUUAAGUAACCUAAUAUGCAUUUUUUUCACAACAUAUAUCACAUUGAAUCUGUUAUUUUAUUUAUUUAUUUUUUGCAUUUCACCUGCUCUAGCUUGUUUCCAUCUAAUAAACCUGGAACUGCAGACUAAAUAUUGUUGGCUCUGUGUCAAAUUGCUUGUUUUGUUCCUAGAUUCUUCAGUGCUUCUUCAUGGCAUGCUGCAUCCAGCAGAGUCGGAGUGAACCUACUGUAAGACAACAUCUCAAAGAUGCUAUUGACCACAAGACUAGUACACUGUAUUUUCAGCAUCAUUCCUCCAGUCUUUAGUGUCACAUGGAUCCCUCAGAAAUGCUGAUUUGCUGCUCAAGAAACUUAUUAUCAGCGUUGAAACAGUUGUGCUGCUUCAUUUUUUUUUGUGGAAACCGUGAUGCAUUUUAUUUUUCAGGAUUCACAGAUGAAUACAAAGUUCAAAAGACCUGCAUUUAUUUGAAACAGAUGAUUUUGAACAAUUUGAUGCAUGUAACACUAACAUUCAAAUGUUUGGAGUCUAUGUAACAACGAAUCCAAAAAAAAAAAUUUCAGCACGUCUGUAUUUUAACAUUGAUCAUAAUCAGAAAUGUUUCUUGAGCAGUAAAUCAUCAUAUUAGAAUGAUGUCUGAAGAUGUGACACUGAAGACUGGAGUAAUGAUGCUGAAAAUUCAGCUUUGACCAAAGGAAUAAAUGACAUUUUAACAUAAUAUUCACAUAGAAAAUAGUUGUUUUGAAUUGUAAUAGUCACAGUGUUACUAUUUUACUGUAAUUUGAUUCAAUAAAUGGAGCUGUGGUGAGCAUAAGAGAUUUUUUAUAAAGGCAUAAAAUAUCUUACAGACCCCAAACUCUUGAAUGGUUGUGUAAAUUACAGUUAUGAUGUUCCUCCCAGUUAAAUUUUAUUAAAAUGUAUUAAAUGUUACUCUGGCAUAUGCAGUCCAUUCUAUAGACUGUGUCUGUUCCCCAAAAACAGACAACAAAUAAUAUGUUUAUUAAGUGAUCUAGAAAAAUUAUUUCAGUUUAAACCUACUAGAUUAAAAACAGUACUCAAUGUACUCCAUUGAUGAAAUAGUAAAAAGUGCACACUGCCUGAAAUGAUAUGAACAGCAGCUAUGCUAAUCUUUCUCCCUUUGUC